UGUUUUAGUCUAGUUAGAGGAACCUGUUUUAUAAACGAUACAACACGCAUUAUUUUACUUGUCUUGGUAGAUCAGUUUGUAUACCGUCAUUAUAAGAUAAUUUAUGAGAAAAUAUUAUUGAAAUCAUAUUAUUGAGUAUAUUAGAUCAAGGUGCAGCUUAUAGAUAAGUAAACAUGGGUUACAAUAAAAUUUAUUUAAUAUGAAUUAAGUAUUUAAAUAUAUUUAUGAAGGAGGAUUUAAUUGUAAGGAGAGGAGUAGUGAGAUUUUCUGAUAAAAGCUCUAAAUUAU
rnacentral:rRNA from 1 species